UUAUUUUGCAUUUAUUGUCAUGUUCACAGGUAUUACAUAAGGAAUAUCCUCAAUUUGGCCAGCUCAACGAUGGUAUCUUCAUGCAGCAGGAUGCUGAAGAAUGUUGGACACAGCUUCUGUACACCCUUUCUUAGUCUCUUAAAAGACAAGUUUCCAGGGCUACUAUGAUCUGAAAUGCAACUAGAAAAGCUGUGCAAGAGUAAUAUACAGAAAGGUUUUGAGGCAUUAAUAGAGCUACAAAAUUUGCUAGCCAGAGAUGAUGAUGAUUCUUCUAUCAAGGACAGUCUCAUUAUUGAUGUCAG